rnacentral:rRNA from 1 species
GAUGAACGCUAGCGGCAGGCCUAAUACAUGCAAGUCGAACGCUCAGUAGCAAUACUGGGGAGUGGCGCACGGGUGCGUAACGCGUACACAAUCUACCUCUAAGCGGGGGACACCCCCUGAACGGGGAGUUAAUACCGCAUAAUAUGCCGAGGUCGCAUGACUUUGGUAUUAAAGCAGCAAUGCACUUAGAGAUGAGUGUGCGUCCCCAUUAAGGUAGUUGGUGAGGUAACGGCUCACCAAGCCUAUGAUGGGUAGCCGGUCUGAGAGGAUGGUCGGCCACACGGGCACUGAGACACGGGCCCGACUCUACGGGAGGCAGCAGUUAA